rfam:Triticum urartu cultivar G1812 contig609694, whole genome shotgun sequence.
CAAGUACUCCGUCCGUUCCGAAUUAUUUGUCUUAGAUUUAUCCAGAUAUGGAUGUAUCUAGACUCAUUUUAAUGCUAGAUACCUUCGUAUCUAGACAAAUCUAAGACAAGUAAUUCGAAACGGAGGGAGUAGAUC